rnacentral:ncRNA from 16 species
CGGUUGCUUACGAGUAAAUCAAAGCCUCAUUUCACACACACACGAGAAUCGAAACGAUUACUCUAGAAGGAUAGGUUUCAUCCCUUCUUCCUGUCCGUUCCUGACGUUGACUCGUGAGCAACUAACUUCCUUCA